AGCAAUGCCAGGGGAAGGCAUCCUGAUGUGCAGCAGUGCAAGGUAGCAGGGCUCUGGGAUCCCUGGGGUGUAAACCUCAGUCUCAGUGUAAGCAUGUAUCUCCAACAGAGUGGAAAGAAAUGCACAUCUCAUAUUUCCCCAAGGAGCUUUCAGGAUUUCCGAGAGAUCUCCCACCCUGCACCCAAGAGAAAAUCACUUCUGUUUCACAGUGGAGAUUGAAUUCAGCCCGAAAAGCAUAAGCCCAACAUUGCCUCCUUCCCCAGAUGUCAGGAUGGCUGCUUGGACGGCUCACUCCCAUUCUGCCCCUUGGAAAAUGAUCAAGAUAGGAUAUUUGGACACAGAU